CUCUUUUUGAAAAUAAUUUAAAGUUGGGCCUGCCCACUGAAUUUUGAAGGGCCGCAGUAUUUUGACUGUGCAAAGGUAGCAUAAUCAUUAGUUUUUUAAUUGAAAGCUUGUAUGAAUGGUUUGAUGAAAAAAUAGCUGUUUCAAUUUUAAUUUUUAGAAUUUUAUUUUUAAGUUAAAAAGCUUAAAUUUUAUUUAAAGACGAGAAGACCCUAUAGAGUUUAACUAAAAUUUAAAUUUUAAAAUAAAGAAUUUUGAGUUUAAUAUUUAAAUUAAGUUUUGUUGGGGUGACAGAAAAAUUAAAAUAACUUUUUUUUUAUUUAUACAAUUAUUUUUGAUUUUUUGAUCCAUUUAAAAUGAUUAAAAGAAUAAAUUACCUUAGGGAUAACAGCGUAAUUUUUUUAAAGAGUUCUUAUCGAAAAAAAAGAUUGCGACCUCGAUGUUGGAUUAAAAUUAAUUUUUGGUGUAGAAGCUAAAAAAUUAGGUCUGUUCGACCUUUGAAAUUUUACAUGAUCUGAGUUUAAACCGGUGUAAGCCAGGUUGGUUUCUAUCUUAAAUUUAGUUAAUAUUUUAGUACGAAAGGAUCAAAUAUUAUAUUAAUAAUAAAAAAAAUUAGAAUUUUAUUUUGGCAGAAUAGUGCGAAGGAUUUAGAAUCUUUUUAUGUAUUUAAUUACAAAUAAAAAUUGAUUUAUUAUUAAUUUUAAUUAAUUUUUUAUUGUUAUUUAUUGGUAUUUUAGUAGGGGUAGCUUUUUUAACAUUAUUGGAACGUAAAUUAUU
rnacentral:rRNA from 1 species